GCCAUCCAGGAUGACGAGAUGAUCUCCUACAUCAUCCAUGGGCUGGACAUGGACUACCAGCCUCUUGUCUCGGCUCUCCACACCCACGUCACGCCCGUCUCCCUCGACGAACUCUUUGCCAUGCUCAGCAACUUCGAUC
rnacentral:snoRNA from 1 species